ACUAAGGCUUUCUUUAAAGCCAAAAAGACUUCUUGUGAAGAUUAA
rfam:Heterocephalus glaber contig72835, whole genome shotgun sequence.